AAAAAGGCAAAUCUUGGGUUUCCGUGUCCAACUUUGAUUGUCCGUCUUAUAUGAAAUUUUUUUAUAAUUCGUAUUUUCAUUGUUGUUAGAUGAUAAAAUAUGAUUAAUAUUUUAUGCGUGACUUGUCUUUUUAAUUUUUUUCAUAAUUUUUUCAAAUAAGACGGACGGUCAAACGUUGGACACGGAAACCAGGGUUUGUCUUUUU
rnacentral:pre_miRNA from 1 species